UACGUAGGGCGCGAGCGUUGUCCGGAAUCAUUGGGCGUAAAGAGCUCGUAGGCGGCCUGUCGCGUCUGCUGUGAAAUCCCGGGGCUCAACCCCGGGCGUGCAGUGGAUACGGGCUGGCUGGAGGCAGGCAGGGGGAGAACGGGAAUUCCCGGUGUAGCGGUGAAAUGCGCAGAUAAUCGGGGAGGAACACCGGUGGCGAAGGCGG
rnacentral:rRNA from 1 species